GAAGUCUGUUCUAUACAUUCUCCAUUGUGGGGAGUUUGUGUUAUUUUGUGAAGGUGUGUGUUCAACUGUUGCUUGUGUUAUGGUGCAGAUUUUCCUGCAGCAUCUGUGACGGGGGAAUAUGGCUCAUGUUUAAUAACCACAAUUAAUUGGAAAUGAGCCCAACGGAGACAGGCUCUGGAAGAGAUCAACACGUUAUGAACUGAAUUCAAGCACAUCGUCAGAGCCCUCCUGUCAGUGGUCCUGUCCUGUGUGCCAGGGACAUACGAUGGACCUCAGUGUGAGGAGUAGUAGCACACUGUUUGAGGGAGCCCAGAGAACAUGAGGCUGGAGGGCAGGGGACUGCUGCCUACGCCUGUCGGGGGUGGCCUACUACUCAGGCAUGAGCGGUUUUCACCCUGUGUAGCUCAGUUGGUAUAGCAUGGCGCUUGCAAUGCCAGGGUUUUAGGGUUCGUUUACCACAGGGAACAGUAUGAAAAUGAAUGCACUCACUACUGUAAGUCGCUCUGGAUAAGAGCUAUAUUACUCAAAUAUAAAAUGUGACCACAAACGUUUUGUGGUAAAAAAGUUGGUAAAGAGAUGGGCAAUAUAGGAUAUUAAUCUUGUGGAAUUCUAGUCAAAUAUACUGAACAAAUAUAUAAACGCAACAUGUAAAGUGUUGGUCCCAUGUUUCAUGAGCUGAAAUAAAAGAUC